rnacentral:lncRNA from 10 species
UGUGAGAGCGUAGGAAAAGGACUGACGUUCUCCAGGUCUCCAUCAGCUCUUUGAGAAUACAGAAAUUGGACUGGAUGAAGUAUUCAUUAUCUUAAAAGACACAACAAAUUAACUCAAAGCCUAGCAGCUUGAAACAAAGAACUCUGAUGAUCUCAUGAAGUCUGUAGUCAGGAACCCAGGCACUGUGUGGCCAAGCCCCCAGCGUCAGAGUCUCCCUGAGGCUGCAGUGGAGGCGUCAGCUGGGGCAGUGAUCACUCAGGGCUCCACCAGGUAUGAUCAACUUUUUAGCUCGCCCAAGUGAUUGUUAGGCAGAAUUCAAUCCCUCUUGGAGUCCCAGAGUAAGAGUCUCAUUUGGAAUAAGGACCUCAGUUCCUUGCUGGCUGUUAGCUGGAGGCCUCCCUCAGUUUCUCGAUAUCUGGGUCUCUCCAUAGGGCAGCUCAUAACAUGGCGACAGGCUUCAAUCGAGCUAGCAAGAGACACUUCUGCUUUCUGGUACUUCAAAGCUUGGAAGAUGCCACUGCCCCCUAACAACAAGCAAAAAGCUGAACAAACUGAAUAAUCAACUCUUCUUAGAACUCUAAGAGAAGUGAGGACCCAGGGACAACCACUGCCCCCAGAAUUGGAGAGACAAGACAGAUGGAUACAGAGAAUCACAACUUACCUACCAGAGCAGAAAUUCAUGAGCAGAAAUCUCUGUGGGAACUAGUGCCAAGAUAGAAAAAUCCAAACUGUAAAUGAUAAAUUACUGUUGGCUGUGUGUGGACAAGUCUGAGAGUAAAAAGACUCCAGGGGGACCCAGACAUAAGGGGGGCUCCAUCCACACUUUUGUGAAACUUACCUUCAAAAUCUCGACCAGGUUCUCACAUUAAAUGUCAGAGAAAAAUGCCCUCAUGCUUCUGGCAAAGGGAGGGAGAAAGGAACGAUUUUGAAAUGCACAGAGCACCCUGUUCUUAACAAGGCCUUCCCUUAGGAGAAACUAUUCAACCAGAGCCUAAGCCCCUGAGAUUUUAUCACAGCCUACCCGACCUGGGGGAGGGAAAUACCCUACUCCAGCAACUCUAGCCAUCCUGUCCCACAUAAGGUGGGGAGGAGACAAGGGACUGAGAAGCACUUGUGAAGUUCAGAGGCACAGGCUCACUAAGAGGCUGAGACUAACCACAGGACCACAGAAUGCCUUCCCCACUUCACCCCCCCAUUACUAGAGGUCUGUUUACAGCAGUUCCUUUUACCCAGUACACUAUGACCAGCUAACAAGAAAAAAUUACAAGGCAUACUAAAAGUCAAAAAAUACAGUUUAGAGAGACAAAGCAAGCAUCAGAACCAAAUAUGGCAGGGAUGUUGGAAUUAUAAGAAUGGGAAUUUAAAAUAUCUAUGAUUAGUCUAUUACAGGUUCUAAUGGAGAAAGCAGACAGCAUGUAAGAACAGAUGAGCAAUGGAAGCAGAGAGACGAAAAUCCUAAGACAGAAUCUAAAAGAAAUGCU